AUUGAACGCUGGCGGCAUGCCUUACACAUGCAAGUCGAACGGUAGCGCGGGGCAACCUGGCGACGAGUGGCGAACGGGUGAGUAAUGUAUCGGAACGUGCCCAGUUGUGGGGGAUAACUGCUCGAAAGAGCAGCUAAUACCGCAUACGACCUGGGGGUGAAAGCGGGGGAUCGCAAGACCUCGCGCAAUUGGAGCGGCCGAUAUCAGAUUAGGUAGUUGGUGGGGUAAAGGCUCACCAAGCCGACGAUCUGUAGCUGGUCUGAGAGGACGACCAGCCACACUGGGACUGAGACACGGCCCAGACUCCUACGGGAGGCAGCAGUGGGGAAUUUUGGACAAUGGACGCAAGUCUGAUCCAGCCAUGCCGCGUGCGGGAAGAAGGCCUUCGGGUUGUAAACCGCUUUUGUCAGGGAAGAAAAGGCUCCUUCUAAUAUAGGGGGCUCAUGACGGUACCUGAAGAAUAAGCACCGGCUAACUACGUGCCAGCCGCCGCCGUAA
rnacentral:rRNA from 1 species